UCAAGCUACAAAGAGCGUAAGGGGAAUGCCUUGGCACCAGGAGCCGACGAAGGACGCAGCGAUCUGCGAAAAGCCACGGGGAGCCGAAAGCAGGCUUUGAUCCGUGGAUAUCCGAAUGGGGAAACCCGCAUGGUUAAUAGCCAUGCGACGUAUACUGAAUAAAUAGGUAUGCGUCGGGAACCGUCUGAACUGAAACAUCUAAGUAGGACGAGGAAAAGAAAUCAACCGAGAUUCCGUAAGUAGUGGCGAGCGAACACGGAAGAGGCCAAACCGAAGGUAGCAAUAUCUUCGGGGUACGGACAGUAAACGGCAUUGCGGUAUCUUAGCAGAAGUGCAUGGGACGGCACACCAUAGAGAGUGAUAGUCUCGUAAGCGAAAAGAGAAGGCAGCCAACUGUAUCCAGAGUACCGCCGGACACGUGAAACCCGGUGGGAACAUGGGGGGACCAUCCUCCAAGCCUAAAUACUCCCUGGUGACCGAUAGAGAACAGUACUGUGAAGGAAAGGUGAAAAGAACCCCGGGAGGGGAGUGAAAAGAACCUGAAACCUUAUGCUUACAAGCACCGAGAGCCCAUCAAAGGGUGAUCGGGUACCUUUUGUAGAAUGGUCCGGCGAGUGAAUGUAACUGGCAAGGUUAAGCACUUAAGGUGUGGAGCCGAAGCGAAAGCAAGUCUUAAUAGGGCGUCAAGUCAGUUGUAUUCGACCCGAAACCGUGUGACCUAGCCAUGAGCAGGCUGAAGUGGAGGUAAAACUCCAUGGAGGGCCGAACCCACUCCCGUUGAAAUGGUAGGGGAUGACUUGUGGCUAGCGGAGAAAUUCCAAUCGAACUCGGAGAUAGCUGGUUCUCUCCGAAAUAGCUUUAGGGCUAGCCUCGAUUUGACAUUACCGGAGGUAAAGCACUGAAUGGGCUAGGGGCCGAGAGGUUACUGAACCCUAUCAAACUAAGAAUGCCGGAUAAUGAUAAUCGGGAGUCAGACAGUGUGAGAUAAGUUUCAUUGUCAAAAGGGAAACAGCCCAGACCCACAGCUAAGGUCCCAAAGUACAGUUAAGUGGUGAAGGAUGUGGAAUUGCAUAGACAACCAGGAUGUUGGCUUAGAAGCAGCCACUCAUUAAAAGAGUGCGUAAUAGCUCACUGGUCGAGUGAUUCUGCGCCGAAAAUUUAACGGGGCUAAAUUGUACACCGAAGCUUGGGAUACAUCUAAUGUAUGGUAGGAGAGCGUUGUAUACGGGGUGAAGUCAGAGCGGAAGCGCUGGUGGACUGUAUACAAGUGAGAAUGCCGGAAUGAGUAGCGAGAAUUAUGUGAGAAUCAUAAUGGCCGAAAGACUAAGGUUUUAGAAGGAAGGUUCGUCCGCUUCUAGUCAGCCGGGAGCUAAGGCGAGGCCGAAAGGCGUAGUCGAUGCACAUACGGUGGAGAUUCCGUAGCCGCCAUUAAUUUAAACAGAGGGACACUUUCAAGGGGCAUGACCCGGGCGUUGGUAGACCCGGGCGUAAGGGACCGAAGAUUAGUAGGGAAGCAUGCUUUAAGGAAGGCGAGAAAAGCUCUGUGUAUAGAAGAUGGCGCCCGUACCGCAAACCGACACAGGUAGUCAGGAAGAGAAUUCUAAGGCCAACGGGAGAAGGGUAGUUAAGGAACUCGGCAAAUUGACCCCGUAACUUCGGAAUAAGGGGUGCUCACGAGAGUGAGCCGCAGUGAAUAGGUCCAGGCGACUGUUUAUCAAAAACACAGCUCUCUGCUAAAUCGAAAGAUGACGUAUAGGGGGUGACACCUGCCCGGUGCUGGAAGGUUAAGAGGAAGGGUGCAAGCUCUGAAUUGAAGCCCCAGUAAACGGCGGCCGUAACUAUAACGGUCCUAAGGUAGCGAAAUUCCUUGUC
rnacentral:rRNA from 1 species